rnacentral:rRNA from 1 species
UACGGGGGGAGCAAGCGUUGUUCGGAUUUAUUGGGCGUAAAGCGUGCGUAGGCGGCUGCGCAAGUCGGUUGUGAAACCCCGGGGCUCAACCCCGGAACUGCAUCCGAUACUGCGUGGCUAGAGGUAGGUAGGGGAGAUCGGAAUUCCUGGUGUAGCGGUGAAAUGCGCAGAUAUCAGGAGGAACACCGGUGGCGAAGGCGGAUCUCUGGGCCUUACCUGACGCUCAGGCACGAAAGCUAGGGGAGCGAACAGG